AGGGAUUACAGUGACACAUAGAUUGGGGAAAUUGCCUCAUACUGGGGUGCAAUAAUACUGACAGACAAGGGUUCGGAAAGAUUGGGGCAGUCUUUUUUUACAUCCCUGGUGAGUGUCUGGAUGGCUAAGCAUUUGUAGCAAACAAAUAUGCCAUAGCUUUACAAUCUUUGGAAAAAACAUUUUGUUGUCAAACUAGGGUUGCACACAUCUAAU